UAGAGGCGGGGUUUCACCAUGUUGGCCAGGCUGGUCUCAAACUCCUGACCUCAGGUGAUCCACCCACC
rnacentral:miRNA from 1 species